rnacentral:rRNA from 1 species
GACGAGGGACCUAGCGUUGUUCGGAAUCAUUGGGCGUAAAGAGUAUGUAGGCGGCCUUGUAAGUCAGUUGUGAAAGCCCCGGGCUCAACCCGGGAAGUGCAAUUGAUACUGCUUGGCUUGAAUGUGGAAGAGGGCAGUAGAAUUCCAGGGUGUAGUGGUGAAAUACGUAGAUAUCUGGAGGAAUACCGGUGGCGAAGGCGGCUGCCUGGUCCUACAUUGACGCUGAGAUACGAAAGCGUGGGGAGCAAACAGG